rnacentral:rRNA from 1 species
UACGAAGGGGGCUAGCGUUGUUCGGAUUUACUGGGCGUAAAGCGCACGUAGGCGGAUCGUUAAGUCGGGGGUGAAAUCCUGGAGCUCAACUCCAGAACUGCCUUCGAUACUGGCGAUCUUGAGUCCGGAAGAGGUGAGUGGAAUUCCUGGUGUAGCGGUGAAAUGCGCAGAUAUCAGGAGGAACACCAAUGGCGAAGGCAGCACUCUGGGACGUGACUGACGCUGAGACGCGAAAGCGUGGGGAGCAAACAGG